rnacentral:rRNA from 1 species
AAUAGAUACCCGGGUAGUCCACGCCGUAAACGAUGUCGACUUGGAGGUUGUGCCCUUGAGGCGUGGCUUCCGGAGCUAACGCGUUAAGUCGACCGCCUGGGGAGUACGGCCGCAAGGUUAAAACUCAAAUGAAUUGACGGGGGCCCGCACAAGCGGUGGAGCAUGUGGUUUAAUUCGAUGCAACGCGAAGAACCUUACCUACUCUUGACAUCCAGAGAACUUAGCAGAGAUGCUUUGGUGCCUUCGGGAACUCUGAGACAGGUGCUGCAUGGCUGUCGUCAGCUCGUGUUGUGAAAUGUUGGGUUAAGUCCCGCAACGAGCGCAACCCUUAUCCUUUGUUGCCAGCGGUUCGGCCGGGAACUCAAAGGAGACUGCCAGUGAUAAACUGGAGGAAGGUGGGGAUGACGUCAAGUCAUCAUGGCCCUUACGAGUAGGGCUACACACGUGCUACAAUGGCGUAUACAAAGAGAAGCGACCUCGCGAGAGCAAGCGGACCUCAUAAAGUAUGUCGUAGUCCGGAUUGGAGU